UCAUUCAAGGUCGUGACAUUUUCCACACGUUCAAAUAUAUCAGAUCCGUCUGGAGUUGAAGUCUUCACCGAGGGCACUAUGGACUGGUUCUUCGAAAAGAUGUACGCAGCUUCUGCUACACCUCAACCUCCUGCUCCUCCAUCUCCUUUGUUGGACGAACCAUGGCGUAAAAUCAACUGGACUGAAAAAGAAAAAAUGAAGAAUGAUGUGAGAGAACUUAAAGUCAGCAACUCAAAUGUAGGUGCCCUCCACCUCCUAGUGCACGGGCCAGCAGGGGCAG